GGCUCGAGGAUGAACGCUAGCGGCAGGCUUAAUACAUGCAAGUCGUGGGGCAGCAUGAGUAGCAAUACUUGAUGGCGACCGGCAAACGGGUGAGGAACACGUACACAACCUUCCUUCAAGCGGGGAAUAGCCCAGAGAAAUUUGGAUUAAUACCCCAUAAUAUAUUUGAUAAGGCAUCUUAUUAAUAUUAAAGCUUCGGCACUUGAUGAUGGGUGUGCGGCUGAUUAGAUAGUUGGCGGGGUAACGGCCCACCAAGUCUACGAUCAGUAGCUGAUGUGAGAGCAUGAUCAGCCACACGGGCACUGAGACACGGGCCCGACUCCUACGGGAGGCAGCAGUAAGGAAUAUUGGACAAUGGACGAAAGUCUGAUCCAGCCAUGCCGCGUGAAGGAUUAAGGUCCUCUGGAUUGUAAACUUCUUUUAUAUGGGACGAAAAAAGGGCAUUCUUGUUCACUUGACGGUACCAUAUGAAUAAGCACCGGCUAACUCCGUG
rnacentral:rRNA from 1 species